rnacentral:rRNA from 3 species
ACGUACAGGUUUCCGUAGGUGAACCUGCGGAAGGAUCAUUA